rnacentral:rRNA from 1 species
AUGAACGCUGGCGGCGUGCCUAACACAUGCAAGUCGAACGGAGAAUCAUGGAACAGAGACUUCGGUUAACGAGAAGUGAUUCUUAGUGGCGAACGGGUGAGUAACGCGUGGAGAACCUGCCUCUAUCCGGGGGAUAGCAGUUGGAAACGACUGAUAAUACCGCAUAAGCGCACGAAGCGGCAUCGCUUCGUGUGAAAAGGUUGAACGGGAAGAGAUGGCUCCGCGUCUGAUUAGCUAGUUGGUGAGGUAACGGCCCACCAAGGCAACGAUCAGUAGCCGGUCUGAGAGGACGGACGGCCACAUUGGGACUGAGACACGGCCCAGACUCCUACGGGAGGCAGCAGUGGGGAAUAUUGCACAAUGGAGGAAACUCUGAUGCAGCGACGCCGCGUGAGUGAAGAAGUAUUUCGGUAUGUAAAGCUCUAUCAGCAGGGAAGAAAGGUCCGCAAGGAAGAUGACAUUACCUGACUAAGAAGCCCCGGCUAACUACGUGCC